rnacentral:rRNA from 1 species
UGGGGGAUAUUGCACAAUGGGCGAAAGCCUGAUGCAGCGACGCCGCGUGGGGGAUGAAGGCCUUCGGGUUGUAAACUUCUUUUGCUCUGAACAAGGCAUGCUAAUGGGUGUGUUGAGUGUAGGGGUUGAUUAGCGCCGGCUAACUACGUGCCAGCAGCCGCGGUAAUACGUAGGGCGCGAGCGUUGUCCGGAAUUAUUGGGCAUAAAGGGCUUGUAGGUGGCUGGUUGCGUCUGUCGUGAAAGCUCAUGGCUUAACUGUGGGUUUGCGGUGGGUACGGGCUGGCUUGAGUGCAGUAGGGGAGGCUGGAAUUCCUGGUGUAGCGGUGGAAUGCGCAGAUAUCAGGAGGAAUACCGGUGGCGAAGGCGGGUCUCUGGGCUGUUACUGACACUGAGGAGCGAAAGCAUGGGGAGCGAACAGG